rnacentral:lncRNA from 1 species
CCCUAUCCCAUCUAUUGGUCAGUUACCUGACUUGCUCUCCUUGGAGGAUAAGCUGAGGGUGGACGAAGAGCUCCAAAGAAAAACGAUUAAAUACCUUUCUACAAUUGGAGGACCAAACUAUGGAGAGACAGUGCGGCGAAUCAUGAGAAAAAUCACUUCCUCAGAAGUUUGGUCACAGUUUAGCCUCAAAGGAAGGAAGGGGAAGAGGAGACUUGAAGAACUCUCUGUUUAUCGAGUUCUAAUAAGGGCAAUAAUGAAAUCACAACCUGGGUCUACUAGCAUGGAUGCUGAAAGCCAGAUUGCAGAGACCCUUAAACAUGCACCAGGUCUGGUUAGGAGAAAGGCUAAUGUGAGUAUUUUGACAAUGUAUUAUAUUACUGACAAUAUGUAUGUAUAAUAUAUUACUUUUUUCUUGCCCAGCCA